CCCAUGUUCAUUGAGCUUUAUUCACAGUGGCUAAGCUAUGGAAUCCAUCCAAGUGUUCACUGAUGGAUAAAUGGAUACAGAAAAUGUUUAUAUAUAUAUAUAUAAUAUU